AAGGAUCAUUACAGUAAAUAGCUGUUAUAGACCGAUGUCUUGGAUUAAAACACUGGUAUGAAUAAGAUCUGCCAUGUGGCCUAUUUAUUUAGGCAUCCUCCAUCACCUAACCAUGUUAAUAUAACUAAAGCGUAACCUUGGUAGAUAUUUUUUCUGCCAGUGGAAGCAUUAAACUCUUUUUUAAAUUAAACAAGCUUAUAAUUAGUAUUAGUCUGCAUAAUCAAGUUAAAUAUUAUUAAAACUUUCAACAACGGAUCUCUUGGUUCUG
rnacentral:misc_RNA from 1 species